rnacentral:rRNA from 1 species
GAUGAACGCUGGCGGCGUGCCUAAUACAUGCAAGUCGAGCGAAUGGAUUAAGAGCUUGCUCUUAUGAAGUUAGCGGCGGACGGGUGAGUAACACGUGGGUAACCUGCCCAUAAGACUGGGAUAACUCCGGGAAACCGGGGCUAAUACCGGAUAACAUUUUGAACCGCAUGGUUCGAAAUUGAAAGGCGGCUUCGGCUGUCACUUAUGGAUGGACCCGCGUCGCAUUAGCUAGUUGGGGAGGUAACGGCUCACCAAGGCAACGAUGCGUGGCCCACCGGAGAGGGGGCUCGGCAGCAGUAGGACUGAGACACGGCCCAGACUCCUACGGGAGGCAGCAGUAGGUAAUCUUCGGCAAUGGACGAAAGUCUGACGGAGCAACGCCGCGUGAGUGAUGAAGGCUUUCGGGUCGUAGAACUCUGUUGUUAGGGAAGAACAAGUGCUAGUUGAAUAAGCUGGCACCUUGACGGUACCUAACCAGAAAGCCACGGCUAACUACGUGCCAGCCGCCGCAGUAA